GUUCCAGGUAGCAGAUAAUCCCCGGUGUGGCAGGUAGCCAGGCCUGCGGAAUGACAGGUUACCAUUCCUAAGGAUUGCAACAGGCCGCCCAUGCAGUGCUCUGUGAUUGGAGGCUUCUUGGCCAAGCUUCCUCCCAUCACAUGUUUGACAGCUGCGUAUAUUAGAAGGUAGGCAAAGUAAAAUUUGCACUGAAGGUUCUUCUGGAUCUCAAGGAAGGAUUGUGAGGAGAAGGAGAAAGGGAAGGGAAGGAUGAGUGAAGACGCAGCCACCAGUGACAAGGGACAAGGGAGAUAGUCUUGAAGCUCUAAUGAAUGAGAAUGUCCUGAGCCGAGUGGCCAGCCUCCCUUUGGUCAGUGCUCUGUACAACCUCUGUGCCUCCUGGUAUAGCCAUGCCAAAG